CCUACGGGAGGCUGCAGUGGGGAAUGUUGGACAAUGGGCGCAAGCCUGAUCCAGCUAUUCCGCGUGUGGGAUGACGGCCUUCGGGUUGUAAACCACUUUUGAAGAGAACGAAAAGUCUGGUGAGAAUACCGAUAGAUGAUGACGGUACGAUAAGAAGAAGCACCGGCUAACUACGUGCCAGCAGCCGCGGUAAUACGUAGGGUGCGAGCGUUCAUCGGAAUUACUGGGCGUAAAGGUUGUGCAGGCGGUUUUGCAAGAUGGAUUUGAAAGCCCCGGGCUUAACCUGGGAAAGCCAUACAUGACUGCCAGCCUCGAGUGCGUCAGAGGGGGGUGGAAUUCCAAGUGUAGCAGU
rnacentral:rRNA from 1 species